AGAGUUUGAUCAUGGCUCAGAUUGAACGCUGGCGGCAUGCCUUACACAUGCAAGUCGAACGCGAAANNGGAGCAAUCCGCAAGUAGAGUGGCGAACGGGUGAGUAAUACAUCGGAACAUUUCCAGUAGCGGGGGAUAACCUGUCGAAAGAUAGGCUAAUACCGCAUACGACCUACGGGUGAAAGCGGAGGACCGCAAGCUUCGCACUAUUGGAGUGGCCGAUGUCGGAUUAGCUAGUUGGCGGGGUAAAAGCCCACCAAGGCGACGAUCCGUAGCUGGUCUGAGAGGACGAUCAGCCACACUGGAACUGAGACACGGUCCAGACUCCUACGGGAGGCAGCAGUGGGGAAUUUUGGACAAUGGGCGCAAGCCUGAUCCAGCCAUGCCGCGUGAGUGAAGAAGGCCUUCGGGUUGUAAAGCUCUUUCGGUGGGGACGAAAAGGUUCGUGCUAAUACCACGGACUAAUGACGGUACCCGAAGAAGAAGCACCGGCUAACUACGUGCCAGCAGCCGCGGUAAUACGUAGGGUGCAGGCGUUAAUCGGAAUUACUGGGCGUAAAGCGUGCGCAGGCGGUUUGUUAAGACAGAUGUGAAAUCCCCGGGCUUAACCUGGGACUGCGUUUGUAACUGGCAAGCUAGAGUGUGGCAGAGGGGGGUGGAAUUCCAAGUGUAGCAGUGAAAUGCGUAGAUAUUUGGAGGAACACCAAUGGCGAAGGCAGCCCCCUGGGUUAACACUGACGCUCAUGCACGAAAGCGUGGGGAGCAAACAGGAUUAGAUACCCUAGUAGUCC
rnacentral:rRNA from 1 species